rnacentral:tRNA from 1 species
AGCCCUGAGGUGUAUAACAUAUCAGAUUGCAAAUCUGAAGAAGCAGGCUAGUCGUCUGCCGGGGCUU